GGAACAUUGGCGUAGUCGUUAUCGCGUCUCUCCAACGCAGAGGGUUUCCAGUUCGAUUCUGGGUUGUUCCA